UACGUAGGGUGCGAGCGUUGUCCGGAAUUAUUGGGCGUAAAGAGCUCGUAGGCGGCUUGUCGCGUCGGAUGUGAAAGCCCGGGGCUUAACUCCGGGUCCUGCAUUCGAUACGGGCAGGCUAGAGUUCGGUAGGGGAGAUCGGAAUUCCUGGUGUAGCGGUGAAAUGCGCAGAUAUCAGGAGGAACACCGGUGGCGAAGGCGGGUCUCUGGGCCGUAACUGACGCUGAGGAGCGAAAGCAUGGGGAGCGAACGGG
rnacentral:rRNA from 1 species